CAAAAACCACAGGGGGGGGGAAAUACAAGACCGCUCACCGCGGUAACUACUCACAACUACGCAUAGAGCUUAGGCAGCAACAGCGACCGCGUCUACCAAUUCCUACGUAAUAUGACGCGUUUGACGUAUCACAUAAAAAAACAACGGUUUUUGAAGCCUUGCUCAAAAUAGUCACUUUAAAACUGGAUUUUUUGCCGAUAUACUUUUUUAAACUGAUAAAAUCCUGCAUUUUGAUUUCAAAGGGCAAUUUUCAGAGAAUGUUAUGCAUAAAUAUUUUUAAAAACAUUAACUUCCAAUACGCACUUUAAAGAGAUACUUCACCGGAGGAGAUAAGGUUAUAUGAAGUAAAUAAUUAUAUGUAUUAUAAAUGUGAAAAAAAAUAGCCUGAGAAAAGGCAGAAAGUGUCUCUCUGGCUCAAAAGUAGGAAAUCCUCCAACUAGGACCCAUGGUCCUAGCGCGAGUGUUGGCGCAAGUUUUGUGUAAACAAAUCCCUGUGAUACGUUGACUAGUUUCGACCUCUGCUCUCGUUUUUUCAAACGCAAUAAUGCCCAGUGGUUGUUUGGUACCCGGUUGCACCGAAAAGUCUGGGAUGGGACAGAGAGUAAGUUUUCACGUUUUUCCAGUGAAAGACGAUCAGCGUUGCCAACUAUGGCUGCGGGCGAACAACCCCACAAUUGGAGAAGACGCCGGUAUGGAAAUUAUAAAAGGAAAAACGAUAUGCAGUCUCCAUUUCAAACUGGAGGAUUAUGAUGUAAAUCUUUUCAGAAUGAUGAGGCACGCUCUCUGUGGUGUUCCCAACACAGAUGUUAUACAGUAGUUGUAUCAGUUUGCAGGUUUCCCAAUGUGAUUGGUUGGCAUUAGGUGGCGUGCUCCUAUUGGUUGUGGAAAAGUCAUUUUUAGCUCUGUUAAACUACUAUGGGAAGUUUAUCCCUAAUCUAUCUACUCUGAUUCAGCCAAUGACAGCAUUGUUGCAUAAAGAUGCAACCUGGGAAUGGUCAGAGAAAUGUCAAAGUGCAUUUGAAAGUGCAAAGACGUCUCUUCAGUCAGAUAAAUUGUUAGUACAUUUUGAUUCAGAUUUACAAAUCAUACUAGCAUGUGAUGCUUCUCCUUAUGGGGUAGGGGCUGUAAUCAGCCAAAAAAUGAAAGAUGGAAGCGAGAGACCUAUUGCAUUUGCAUCGAGAAUGCUAACGAAAACAGAACAGAAUUACUGUCAACUGGAAAAAGAGGGACUGGGUCUUGUAUUUGGAGUUAUGAAAUUCCAUGAUUAUUUUUAUGGAAGGAAAUUCCUGUUAUUGACAGACCACAAGCCGCUGUUGAAAAUUUUGGGGCCUAAGACAGGUGUGCCAACCCUGGCCACUGCUAGAUUACAAAGAUGGGCUCUAAAUUUGGCAGCGUAUACAUACGAAAUCCAAUGUAAGAAGUCAGAGCAGCAUAGCAAUGCUGAUGCUUAUCAAGAUUACCUGUGAAGCCUGAGGUAGAUGUGGUGUCAAACCCAAUUUACAGAGUGUCUUACUUGGAAUAAUUACCUCUUACUGCUAGAGAAUUAGCCAAAGAAACAGACAGAGAUCCUGUGUUAAGAGUGGUUAAACAGUUGGUGUUAACUGGGUGGCCUAAACAUGUACAGGAUGAGUCACUGAAGCCUUACUUUCAGAGAAAAUUAGAGCUUAGCAUUGAGGAUGAUUGUUUAUUAUGGGGUUACCGUGUGGUAGUGCCUGAUAAACGGAGAGACAGGUUAUUGUCUGAAUUACAUGAGCACCACUGGGGAAUAGUUAAAAUGAAAUCCCUCGCCACCAGAAUUCUGGUGGCCUACAUUAGAUGACAGUAAUAAACGUGAAGUGAAUCGGUGUACUAUUUGUCAGCAGCAGCGUAGUAUGGCUGCUACAGCACCAGUCCAUACAUGGAAAUGGUGUUCGAGUCCAUGGAAAAGGGUACAUCUUGAUUUUGCUGAGGACCACAAACAGAUGUUUUUAGUAGUGAUGGGUGCCUAUGCUAGAUGGCCAGAGAUAGUUGCCAUGAACACUACUACAUCAUCUAAGACGAUUGAAGCACUGAGGAAUUUAUUCGCAGCUUAUGGGUUGCCUAAAGAGGUUUUAACUGGUAACGAACCUCAGUUCGUAUCGCAAGAGUUUGAGUCAUUUUUUACUAUCAAUGGAGUAAAACACAUCAAAUCACCUGCUUACCAUCCUGCAAGUAAUGGUUUAGCUGAAAGAUUGGUUCAGAAUCUUAAGAAAUCCCUUGCAAAGAAUAGAGCCAUUGGUGGUAUGACACUUGAGCACUGUGUAGCGAACUUUCUGAUUGGGUACAGAAACACACCCCAUACUAAGACAGAGAAAACGCCAGCUGAGCUCUUUCUGAGAAGACAGGUGCGAACCAGGUUGUCACUUAUCAAACCAGAGUUCUCUCAGAGAAUGCAGACUGAGUCUGAACCAAAUCUUCCCCGUGUUAGGUUUUUCAAGGUUGGUCAACAAGUGUUGGUAAAGAAUUACAGGGGAGGGGAGAAAUGGUUGAAUGGAGUUGUACGUGAAGUGUUGGUUCCUGUCACAUACAGUGUUGAGGUUAAGGGAAAGUGUUUGAAAAGUCAUGUGAACCAGAUUUUGGGUGUCAAGGGAAAUCCAAAUCAUUCGACUCAAAUGGACUCUUGUGAUUCUUACAACAUUUAUGAUUUCAAUGUGGACACUGAUUCGUCAGAUCGACGACCUUUGGAACCACCCCCGCCAGUGGUGGAACGGAAUACUCUGUCCUCUGUCCUGUGAGAGACAGACGUCCUCCUGAUAGACUGAACUUGUGAAUCAAAUGCAGAUUGGUUGAAAAAAAAAAAUGGAAUCUGUAAUGUAUAAUGUAAAAAAAAAAAAAGAAGAAGUUUGAAUUUACAGGGGAGGACCUGUGGUGUUCCCAACACAGAAUGUUAUACAGUAGUUGUAUCAGUUUGCAGGUUUCCCAAUGUGAUUGGUUGGCAUUAGGUGCCGGGCUCCUAUUGGUUGUUCAUAUAGGUAUAUUAGGCAGAAUCGCCACAAGAGGGUUCUCUUGGUACUCUGCUCGACCUAGAUAACACGCGCUGGUUGUUACCGUGGAUUUCAAAUAAAAGAUUGGAUUCAUUCAUCAGUCUGCCAUGUGCCCGUCAACUUCUUCUUAAACAGUUUUAGAACUAUAUAGUGACUGAAACACAACACUCUCAAACCAACUGCUGUUCCGUCCGUCUUCGCUGCCCGUUCCCAGAUGACAAACAGGUCGGGACUUCUGAUGCACCUCCCGCAGCAAAACACACUCGCCUACAGUGUAGAACAGGAGGAUGGAAAGAAGCUACACUUGACAGGGGAUGACCGGUGAACACGCCAGGUUUCAGUGCCAAAUACUGCCAUUACACCCUCAUGUUGGACGACACCAAGGAGAUUAUGCACACAAAACUGCUGCAGGUAAAUAAAAGAUUAACACUGGAAAAUAAAAAAAUUCUAGCCUACAGAAUCCGCCAGCUCUGUUGCUAUCGAACCAACCGGUUUCAAAAGGGGCAUGAAGGAGAUCAUGGGUGAUGGCUUGGAUAUUGAGGUGAUAACCACGGAACGCUCCACAUCGAUACGUAAGAUCAUGAGGGAAGAAUUCCCCAAUGUCCAGCAUGAGUUUGACAUCUGGCAUGCAGCGAAAGGUUUCAGGAAGAAGAUACAGAAAAGGAAAAAUGAAAUAUUCAGAAUUGUGGUUCCUGAUUCUUGACGGACAACCCAACCAACCCCCAAACGCUCUGCGCCAGUUGUAAACUAGCAACGACACAUGCGCCAGUGACUAAGUCACUUGCGCCGGAUGCAAGAUAGGGACCCAUGUGUGUAAUGAGCAUGAAUGGACAAAUGAUGACGGACAAACAAACCGGUGUGGACAUCGACCUAUAGCAGCCCAGGAGCAAAUCAAGCGCCAAUGGAUGAAGAGGGAGUCUUCGGCGUUCCAAAUUCUCGAAUCGCAGGUCAAUGACAAAAGGCUGUUGAAAGACAUGGAACAGAUGGCCCUGUUCAAACA